rnacentral:lncRNA from 1 species
GGUGAAAACUGUAGGUGCAAGUCUUCCUCUUCAACUCUGGAACGGAUGCCAUCUCUCACAGUGAAUAGACUCCCGAAUGAACCUGAGAAAUGAUAUGCAUGAGGAGAUUAGCUUUUUUUUUUUUUUUUUUUUUAUUGCAUUAUUUUUUUUGAAAAUAAAUAUGCUAUGAUGCAAAUGAUGCAAACACGACUGGUUGGCUGUGUGUUACGGAGCACAGGUUCAAAGCUUCGGCU